UGGAGGGGAAAAAUACGUUCGUUUUUGGUUAGAAUCACUCCUCAGGAUGGAUCCACCUUGUCGUGAUCCUGCGACUGAGUAACACUCCACAAGCAAGUGACGGUGAGAAGUUCACGAAUCCAAUCCAAGCAUAAAGCUUUCCGAAUCUUCCUGAUACCUAUAUAGGUAUGAGUUUCUUCAUAUAUACCACCUAUUGGUUGUGACUCAUCGAAGUCGAUUCUAUGAAGGAGGGUAAAAAUACAUGUAGUCCUACAUCAGGUAGAGGUACCGGGGUAGAGUUAGUUACAGUUGUGUUUUCUGGAUUUGGCAUGGGCCCCCUGGUUAAAUUAUCGUGACUUCUGGAGAGUCAUAUGUUUCCAUUUACCGAAGAUAGUAUAAGUUAGUUAAAGAAUGAUUCGCUUCUCAAGGAGUAUGUGUAAUGACUUGGCCAACAGAUAGCGCAGACCUCAAUUCAAUUGAAAACAUUUGGGAUGAAAUUGAUCAGAAAAUCAAUGUAAAAAAAUUGUCAAAUUUGAAUGAACUCUACCAAGAAGUUCAAAAUCAGUGGAAAGAAAUAUCUAACGAUUAUAUUUAAAUGCUACUGAAAUCAAUGAAAAAAUGUUUAGAAGUUGAAAAUGAUGGAUAUGUUAUUAGAUAUUAAAUAAAGGAAGGCUAAAUGUACGUUA